GAUGAACGCUGGCGGCGUGCCUAAUACAUGCAAGUCGAGCGAACGGACGAGAAGCUUGCUUCUCUGAUGUUAGCGGCGGACGGGUGAGUAACACGUGGAUAACCUACCUAUAAGACUGGGAUAACUUCGGGAAACCGGAGCUAAUACCGGAUAAUAUUUUGAACCGCAUGGUUCAAAAGUGAAAGACGGUCUUGCUGUCACUUAUAGAUGGAUCCGCGCUGCAUUAGCUAGUUGGUAAGGUAACGGCUUACCAGGGCAACGAUGCAUAGCCGACCUGAGAGGGUGAUCGGCCACACUGGAACUGAGACACGGUCCAGACUCCUACGGGAGGCAGCAGUAGGGAAUCUUCCGCAAUGGGCGAAAGCCUGACGGAGCAACGCCGCGUGAGUGAUGAAGGUCUUCGGAUCGUAAAACUCUGUUAUUAGGGAAGAACAUAUGUGUAAGUAACUGUGCACAUCUUGACGGUACCUAAUCAGAAGGCCACGGCUAACUACGUG
rnacentral:rRNA from 1 species